rnacentral:rRNA from 1 species
UACAGAGGGUGCAAGCGUUGUUCGGAAUUAUUGGGCGUAAAGGGCGCGUAGGCGGUGCGGUAAGUCUUUUGUGAAAUCUCCGGGCUCAACUCGGAGUCUGCAGGAGAAACUGCCGUGCUUGAGUGUGGGAGAGGUGAGUGGAAUUCCCAGUGUAGCGGUGAAAUGCGUAGAUAUCGGGAGGAACACCUGUGGCGAAAGCGGCUCACUGGACCACAACUGACGCUGAGGCGCGAAAGCUAGGGGAGCAAACAGG